rnacentral:tRNA from 1 species
GCGGAUGUGGUGAAAUUGGUAGACGCGUUAGAUUUAGGUUCUAGUGAUAUAUAUCGUGAGAGUUCAAGUCUCUCCAUCCGCA